AGCUUUGCGCAGUGGCAGUAUCGUAGCCAAUGAGGUUUAUCCGAGGCGCGAUUAUUGCUAAUUGAUCUUUAUUGAUGAUCUUUUAUGUGCCCAGCACAACAUGUAGAGGUCUUUAAUAGACCAAAGA
ensembl:snRNA U4 U4 spliceosomal RNA